GGCAGAUCAGGUCAGAGAGCUGAAGGACAAGCCAAAAUUCUGCUCUCCUUCUUCCCCCAAAAAACCCAACAUUUAUUCUCAUCAAAUUGUUAACCAGCUCAAAGGAGAGGGGGAGAAAGGAGAAGGCAGGGAUGAGAACACCCUGCUCCUCCUGGCAGCGUCCCACAGCUGCAGCAGAGAAACCUUCCCCCCAGCAGCCUGACAGACAGCAGGGGAUCAGCCCUCCUGACCUGACAGAACACACAUGAUGGAAACACAACAUUCAAGCCCUUGACAACUAGCAAGGAGAACACAUAUAGAAAGCAUCUUGCAGCUCCCCUGAACACAAUCCCCUGCUGCAGCCGAGCAGUCUCUCCCGAGAAAAAGAACAACUUUUUGGUCAUCUACUGAAGCCAGUAAUUCUGUUCUUCGGACUCCCAGGAUUUCUGCUAUCUGAUGGAAUAUUUAAGCGGAGACUUCAUUCCCCCGGUGGAGCGCCGACGGCUCAGCCACUCCACUCCGGUGUUCAAUGAGCUCUUGUGUUCUAUUACAGAAUAAAUGCGAUUUUCUGCCCAGCUGGAAAA